CCAGUUUUUGGAUCGGCCAUUGUGGUGUUUGCAGCGCCACCAGGCCCGCCCAUACCGCCGUGGCAUCCAGCGCAGUUGAA
rnacentral:tRNA from 1 species